rnacentral:lncRNA from 10 species
UGUCCACAUGCUCCUCUGCUGUUCUGGCUGCUACAUGAGUAGCUUUCACUGUACACUCCAUUGUCCCCCGUAACACAGGAAGGCAUCCUCCUGAGUUAGCAGUAACUGAAGGAUAAAGAUGAACAAACCACAAUUUCUUUCAUUCUCCCAACUCCUGGCUUUAGGGGCUGCUUUCUGGCUUUAAAAAUAUUGCACUGGAAUAGAACCAAGGAUCAAAUAUCUGGGACAUGAUAUCUUGAGUAAAACAGGAAAUGUCUGCUACAGAGACAAACUGAAGUUUGUGUAUAUCGUGCUGAUUCAGAAGAGAAUGAAGGCAUUUGUCAAGAGAUAAUGUCAGACUAAUCAGACAUGUUCCAAUCGAUUAAUGCAUUUGGAGGAUUUCCAAAUAUUUGCUGAUCUAAGGACGGUGAGGUAUAUGAUGGGAAACAAAUCUGAGAAAAGAAGGAUGGUAGAUGCUUUCCCAUUGUGACCUGUGAUCAUUUUGGUAAGAACACUUUACUCAAUUAAGAGGCGAUCAAGUGAUUCCAGGCCUGCUGCUAAAUAAUUAUGAGAUGAUAUUUGGAAAUAUGUAUUUCUCCUUUACCUCCUGAAGCCACAGGUAUGUGCCUGAGGUUCUCAACAAAUGGCUGAUUAUCUCUCAGAAUAUUCAGUUGUCUGGUAGCUGGCACUAAUAGCUCAGAAUAAGCUAUAUUUAACUUCAGGAUCCAUCUGGACUCUUGGCCACUAGUGGUAGGUAAUACUAGUUGCCGAAUUCAGUUUCUCUGAGCCUGUGAAAACUGCCUGAUUUUAUUUCAAAUUCAUUUUGCAUCCUGUGGGAUGGAUUUGAGAUCAGGGCAAAAUAUUCAACCUUAUUUUUGUUAAUCUUGCCCCAAAUAUGAUCCAGAUUAACCUUUCUUAACACAAAUUUGCAUUUUUUACAAAUAUCAUUUUUAGUGAAAUUAAAAUCUAUGAUUAUUAACGUUAAUAUUGUGCAAGUAGCAUUUGUAAUAUAAAGUUUUCAAAAAAGGAAGAUAAUUUUAUUUACUGGAGACUUAUUUUGCCAUUUUCAACUUGGAAGCCCAGGACUCAAACAAAAGUAUUGUUUGAAAACUGUUGGGGUUGAUUAUUACUUAUGCCGGAAGUUUCAAAAAAAAUUUUUAGAAAAAAAGAAAGCUGUCUUGUUCUAAUAAUUUGAAAUUUUAACAGUUAAAUUAUUGCUAAAUUUGCAUAAGAUUUGCUCUGUAAGACAAUACUUUUUAUAAUUGUUAA